CCCUCAAUUAUUAUUAACAUAAACUAAUAAAUAUUAUAACAUAAACUGAUAAACAAUAUAAAGGUACUUACUAAUCUUUUACGCAAUACAAGAAGGUCAUCAUUUCGGUCACCAUCUUGCAUUCCAAGUGUUUUAUUUAAGAAGUUUUUUCCCCACAUUUUUUUUGAAGGGGUUGGAAUUUUUUAUUUUAUUUUUUACUUUUAGCAAUACUUUUUUUUUCCUUUCUUAAAAUGUUUUUUUUAUCCUCAACUCUGGAAAUUGGGUAAGAUUAAGUGAG
rnacentral:lncRNA from 1 species